rnacentral:ncRNA from 2 species
UGCUCAUCCAGAGAGGUGGAGGGACCGGCCCUGAGAAACCUCGGCAACCGCGAAGCGCAGUCGCUGGUGCCAAAUCCGGCAGAAGUUCUCCGGCAGGGUGGCCGGGAGACAUUUCUGGAAGAUGAGGA